UAAGCUCUAUUCGCUGAUGGUACUGCGAGUUCGCGGGAGAGUAAGUUAUUGCCAGGGUUUUUAUUUUAUACUUUAAGCUUUCAAUUUAUUUUUUAUGUUUUUUAAAUAUUCAUUUUUUUGAAUAUUUAAAAAACAUAAAAAAUAAAUUAGAUAUUGACAUAGAUUAAACAAAAAUAUAUAUUAUUCUAUGUUGCAUAAACAAAUUGGCAAAGUAGAGACGGAAGAUAAAAAUAUGGUCAAAGUAAUAAGAGUCUAUGGUGGAUGCCUAGGAGCUUUAAGGCGAAGAAGGUCGGA
rnacentral:misc_RNA from 1 species